GUUUUGAGGCAGCGUGUACAUACCUAUGAUGGGCAGCGUGACAACGGACACCUCAGGGAUGCUGAUUUUUCCAGUUGCACUAGAAAGCUCCUAUGGCUGAUUUAGGAGUGACGGAAGAGAUGGAGAUGGAGCUACUCUGCUCAUGCCUAUGAGAAAAGAAUUCCUGACUGUAUUAUGGUCUGGAGUGUGGUGCCAUUGUUUUGCAGGCCUAUGGACUCUCUUGUUUUGGACUGAGGGACCAAGAACAAGGAGUCUGGGGUCUACUGUCUUCGUUCGGGGUUGGGGAACCAGGUAGGGAUUUGGAGCAGAGCUCAAAGGGCCACUUGUAUGUGAAGUAAGCACUCAGAUUGGCUUUGACCG
rnacentral:lncRNA from 1 species